rnacentral:lncRNA from 1 species
GAGAAUGAGAUUGAGAAAAACCGUCUAGCUGUGAGUACUUGGGUUGGGCGCUCGUACUAGUUGGGCCAUGCCAAAAUAAGGCAGAGGAGUAGUAAAAAAAUUGCAUUUUCUGGAGGGCAGGCUUCAACUUGUUGAAUCCUAUUCGUUGGACUCGCCACUGUCUGUACCCAUCAUGUAUCCUCUAUCCAAUGGGUAUCUAGUGGGUACAAUUUAUAUUAUUUACAUUUUGAAAAAGAAGAAAAAAAAA